AGCGAACGCUGGCGGCAGGCCUAACACAUGCGAGUCGAACGGACCCUUCGGGGUUAGUGGCGGACGGGUGAGUAACACGUGGGAACGUGCCCUUUGGUUCGGAACAACUCAGGGAAACUUGAGCUAAUACCGAAUGUGCCCUUUGGGGGAAAGAUUUAUCGCCAUUGGAGCGGCCCGCGUCUGAUUAGCUAGUUGGUGGGGUAAUGGCCUACCAAGGCUACGAUCAGUAGCUGGUCUGAGAGGAUGAUCAGCCACAUUGGGACUGAGACACGGCCCAAACUCCUACGGGAGGCAGCAGUGGGGAAUCUUGCGCAAUGGGCGAAAGCCUGACGCAGCCAUGCCGCGUGAAUGAUGAAGGUCUUAGGAUUGUAAAAUUCUUUCACCGGGGACGAUAAUGACGGUACCCGGAGAAGAAGCCCCGGCUAACUUCGUGCCAGCCGCCGCUGUAACAC
rnacentral:rRNA from 1 species